rnacentral:tRNA from 1 species
GAAGAGGUGGCUGAGUGGUUUAAAGCGGUAGACUGUAAAUCUAUUUUAUAAAUAAUAAUCGUAGGUUCAAAUCCUACUCUCUUCA